ACUUAGGCAAGCUUUUCUUACUCGGGUUCAGGCUUGUUCAUCUUCUGAGAGUCACCGUGAGCUCCUGCUGCCUGGUCCCUGCUCCCUGGCCCCGCACUGACCCAGACUUGCCUCUCCUGAUGCCCCUCCUUGGGAAGCACACCAGUGGAAAUAUGGGAAAGGGUUAUCAAAUCCUGUGCUUAGCAUCUGAACUUGCCUCUCAACAGGGGGAGUAGUGUUUCUCUUCCAAGCCCUGUGAUGAUUGCUCAGAUACAGCCAUGAAAGGAGUGGUGUGACUGGAAUGGGAGUUGAUCUUCUGAAUGUAAACAGUAAAUAUAUAUUUU